GACGAACGCUGGCGGCGUGCUUAACACAUGCAAGUCGAACGGAAGGCCCCUUUGGGGGUACUCGAGUGGCGAACGGGUGAGUAACACGUGAGUAACCUGCCCUUGACUUCGGGAUAACUUCAGGAAACUGGGGCUAAUACCGGAUAGGAAUCCUUGCUGCAUGGUGGGGGUUGGAAAGCUUCGGCGGUUUUGGAUGGACUCGCGGCUUAUCAGCUUGUUGGUGGGGUAGUGGCUUACCAAGGCUUUGACGGGUAGCCGGCCUGAGAGGGCGACCGGCCACAUUGGGACUGAGAUACGGCCCAGACUCCUACGGGAGGCAGCAGUGGGGAAUAUUGCACAAUGGGCGGAAGCCUGAUGCAGCAACGCCGCGUGCGGGAUGACGGCCUUCGGGUUGUAAACCGCUUUCAGCAGGGGCGAAGCUUGUGGUGACGGUACCUGCAGAAGAAGCACCGGCUAACUACGUG
rnacentral:rRNA from 1 species